rnacentral:rRNA from 1 species
UACGUAGGGGGGCAAGCGUUGUCCGGAUUUAUUGGGCGUAAAGAGCGUGUAGGCGGCCAGACAGGUCCGUUGUGAAAACUCGAGGCUCAACCUCGAGAUGUCGAUGGAAACCGUCUGGCUAGAGUCCGGAAGAGGAGUGUGGAAUUCCUAGUGUAGCGAUGAAAUGCGCAGAUAUCAGGAGGAACACCGGUGGCGAAGGCGGGUCUCUGGGCCGAUACUGACGCUGAGGAGCGAAAGCGUGGGGAGCGAACAGG